CCUACGGGAGGCAGCAGUGAGGAAUAUUGGUCAAUGGCCGCAGGGCUGAACCAGCCAAGUCGCGUGAGGGAUGACGGUCCUAUGGAUUGUAAACCUCUUUUGUCAGGGAGCAAAGGGCGCCACGUGUGGCGUUUUGCGAGUACCUGAAGAAAAAGAAUCGGCUAACUCCGUGCCAGCAGCCGCGGUAAUCAGGAGGAUGCGAGCGUUAUCCGGAUUUAUUGGGUGUAAAGGGUGCGCAGGCGGAAUGUAAAGUCAGCGGUAAAAUUUCGGGGCUAAAUCCCGUCGUGCCGUUGAAAAUGGCGUUCUUGAGUGAGCGAGAAGUAUGAGGAAUGCGUGGGGGAGCGGUGAAAUGCAUAGAUAUCACGCAGAACUCAGAUUGCGAAGGCAGCAUACCGGCGCUCAACUGACGCUCAUGCACGAAAGCGUGGGUAUCGAACAGGAUUAGAUACCCGUGUAGUC
rnacentral:rRNA from 1 species